rnacentral:rRNA from 1 species
GAUGAACGCUGGCGGCGUGCCUAAUACAUGCAAGUCGAGCGAACGGACGAGAAGCUUGCUUCUCUGAUGUUAGCGGCGGACGGGUGAGUAACACGUGGAUAACCUACCUAUAAGACUGGGAUAACUUCGGGAAACCGGAGCUAAUACCGGAUAAUAUUUUGAACCGCAUGGUUCAAAAGUGAAAGACGGUCUUGCUGUCACUUAUAGAUGGAUCCGCGCUGCAUUAGCUAGUUGGUAAGGUAACGGCUUACCAAGGCAACGAUGCAUAGCCGACCUGAGAGGGUGAUCGGCCAAACUGGAGCUGAGACACGGUCCAGACUCCGACGGGAGGCAGCAGUAGGGAAUCUUCCGCAAUGGGCGAAAGCCUGACGGAGCAACGCCGCGUGAGUGAUGAAGGUCUUCGGAUCGUAAAACUCUGUUAUUAGGGAAGAACAUAUGUGUAAGUAACUGUGCACAUCUUGACGGUACCUAAUCAGAAAGCCACGGCUAACUACGUG